GAUGUAGGGCGCGAGCGUUGUCCGGAUUUAUUGGGCGUAAAGAGCUCGUAGGCGGCUUGUCGCGUCGUUCGUGAAAACCCGGGGCUCAACUCCGGGCUUGCGGGCGAUACGGGCAGGCUAGAGUUCGGUAGGGGAGACUGGAAUUCCUGGUGUAGCGGUGAAAUGCGCAGAUAUCAGGAGGAACACCGGUGGCGAAGGCGGGUCUCUGGGCCGUAACUGACGCUGAGGAGCGAAAGCGUGGGGAGCAAACAGG
rnacentral:rRNA from 1 species